rnacentral:rRNA from 1 species
AGUGAUCCGGUGGUUCUGAAUGGAAGGGCCAUCGCUCAACGGAUAAAAGGUACUCCGGGGAUAACAGGCUGAUACCGCCCAAGAGUUCAUAUCGACGGCGGUGUUUGGCACCUCGAUGUCGGCUCAUCACAUCCUGGGGCUGAAGUAGGUCCCAAGGGUAUGGCUGUUCGCCAUUUAAAGUGGUACGCGAGCUGGGUUUAGAACGUCGUGAGACAGUUCGGUCCCUAUCUGCCGUGGGCGCUGGAGAACUGAGGGGGGCUGCUCCUAGUACGAGAGGACCGGAGUGGACGCAUCACUGGUGUUCGGGUUGUCAUGCCAAUGGCACUGCCCGGUAGCUAAAUGCGGAAGAGAUAAGUGCUGAAAGCAUCUAAGCACGAAACUUGCC